rnacentral:rRNA from 1 species
GUAAGGAAUAUUGGUCAAUGGGGGCAACCCUGAACCAGCCAUGCCGCGUGAAGGAUGAAGGCGUUAUGCGUUGUCAACUUCUUAUGUAUGGGAAGAAUGACAGGGUUUUAUCCUUGGAGAGACGGUACCAUACGAAUAAGCACCGGCUAACUCCGUGCCAGCAGCCGCGGUAAUACGGAGGGUGCAAGCGUUAUCCGGAUUCACUGGGUUUAAAGGGUGCGUAGGUGGGUUGGUAAGUCAGUGGUGAAAUCUUCGAGCUUAACUCGGAAACUGCCAUUGAUACUAUCAGUAUUGAAUAUUGUGGAGGUUAGCGGAAUAUGUCAUGUAGCGGUGAAAUGCUUAGAUAUGACAUAGAACACCAAUUGCGAAGGCAGCUGGCUACACAUAUAUUGACACUGAGGCACGAAAGCGUGGGGAUCAAACAGGAUUAGAUACCCGAGUAGUCC